rnacentral:snRNA from 1 species
GUAUUCACUUUGGCAGCACGUAUAUGAAAAUUGGAAUGAUACAGAGAAGAUUAGCAUGGCCCCUGUGCAAGGAUGACAUGCAAAUCCGUGAAGAAAAUGGGAAAACACAAUAUU